UAGUGUUUAAAACCCUGAAUUAUUAGUAGUUAAGUUCUUGAAAAUUAAUAAAGAUGGCGGUGUUUUAGUCUGUUCAGAGGAAUCUGCCCUGUAAUUGAUAUUCCACGAUUUGAAUUACUUGGAUUUUUAGCUUGCAUAUCGCUGUAAUUGAAUAUUUCUAUUGAAUAAAAAUAUUCAAGAUUUUUAAUAGAAAAGAUGUCAAGUCAAGAUGUAGCCUAUAUCUAAGAAGAGGUGGAUUACAAUAGUUUUAUUUGUGGUUAGUUUGUUUUAAUAUUUUCCUAUAAAAUGGAUUUGAAGGUAAUUUUUUACAAAAAUUUGAAGAAUGAUUUUAGCUCUAAAU
rnacentral:rRNA from 1 species